UCUGGGCCCUAUCGAAGCUGUCUUUGCCUUUACUUGGGCAUGCGAUGGUCAAUGUGAGGCCAAUAUAAAGUCUCUGUAUUGGUCACUAGUUAGUUAUUUAAUAAUUUUCAUAGUAUUACCCAAGCAGAGAACAAUC